rnacentral:rRNA from 1 species
GACGAACGCUGGCGGCGUGCUUAACACAUGCAAGUCGAACGGAAAGGCCCCUUUGGGGGUACUCGAGUGGCGAACGGGUGAGUAACACGUGAGUAACCUGCCCUUGACUUCGGGAUAACUUCAGGAAACUGGGGCUAAUACCGGAUAGGAAUCCUUGCUGCAUGGUGGGGGUUGGAAAGCUUCGGCGGUUUUGGAUGGACUCGCGGCUUAUCAGCUUGUUGGUGGGGUAGUGGCUUACCAAGGCUUUGACGGGUAGCCGGCCUGGGGGGGCGACCGGCCACAUUGGGACUGAGAUACGGCCCAGACUCCUACGGGGGGCAGCAGUGGGGAAUAUUGCACAAUGGGCGGAAGCCUGAUGCAGCAACGCCGCGUGCGGGAUGACGGCCUUCGGGUUGUAAACCGCUUUCAGCAGGGGCGAAGCUUGUGGUGACGGUACCUGCAGAAGAAGCACCGGCUAACUACGUG